GUGCCAGCAGCCGCGGUAAUACGGAGGGGGCUAGCGUUGUUCGGAAUUACUGGGCGUAAAGCGCACGUAGGCGGACUGUUAAGUCGGGGGUGAAAUCCCGGGGCUCAACCCCGGAACUGCCUUCGAUACUGGCAGUCUUGAGGAUGGGAGAGGCGAGUGGAAUUCCGAGUGUAGAGGUGAAAUUCGUAGAUAUUCGGAGGAACACCAGUGGCGAAGGCGGCUCGCUGGCCCAUUUCUGACGCUGAGGUGCGAAAGCGUGGGGAGCAAACAGGAUGAGAUACCCUGGUAGUCCACAGCCGUAAACGAUGUGCACUAGAUGUAGGGAGGUGUUGACCCUCUCUGUGUCGGAGCUAACGCAUUAAGUGCACCGCCUGGGGAGUACGGCCGCAAGGUUAAAACUCAAAUGAAUUGACGGGG
rnacentral:rRNA from 1 species